GCGUCGGUAAGGUGAUAUGAACCGUUAUAACCGGCGAUUUCCGAAUGGGGAAACCCAGUGUGUUUCGACACACUAUCAUUAACUGAAUCCAUAGGUUAAUGAGGCGAACCGGGGGAACUGAAACAUCUAAGUACCCCGAGGAAAAGAAAUCAACCGAGAUUCCCCCAGUAGCGGCGAGCGAACGGGGAGCAGCCCAGAGCCUGAAUCAGUAUGUGUGUUAGUGGAAGCGUCUGGAAAGGCGCGCGAUACAGGGUGACAGCCCCGUACACAAAAAUGCACAUAUUGUGAGCUCGAUGAGUAGGGCGGGACACGUGGUAUCCUGUCUGAAUAUGGGGGGACCAUCCUCCAAGGCUAAAUACUCCUGACUGACCGAUAGUGAACCAGUACCGUGAGGGAAAGGCGAAAAGAACCCCGGCGAGGGGAGUGAAAAAGAACCUGAAACCGUGUACGUACAAGCAGUGGGAGCACGCUUAGGCGUGUGACUGCGUACCUUUUGUAUAAUGGGUCAGCGACUUAUAUUCUGUAGCAAGGUUAACCGAAUAGGGGAGCCGAAGGGAAACCGAGUCUUAACUGGGCGUUAAGUUGCAGGGUAUAGACCCGAAACCCGGUGAUCUAGCCAUGGGCAGGUUGAAGGUUGGGUAACACUAACUGGAGGACCGAACCGACUAAUGUUGAAAAAUUAGCGGAUGACUUGUGGCUGGGGGUGAAAGGCCAAUCAAACCGGGAGAUAGCUGGUUCUCCCCGAAAGCUAUUUAGGUAGCGCCUCGUGAAUUCAUCUCCGGGGGUAGAGCACUGUUUCGGCAAGGGGGUCAUCCCGACUUACCAACCCGAUGCAAACUGCGAAUACCGGAGAAUGUUAUCACGGGAGACACACGGCGGGUGCUAACGUCCGUCGUGAAGAGGGAAACAACCCAGACCGCCAGCUAAGGUCCCAAAGUCAUGGUUAAGUGGGAAACGAUGUGGGAAGGCCCAGACAGCCAGGAUGUUGGCUUAGAAGCAGCCAUCAUUUAAAGAAAGCGUAAUAGCUCACUGGUCGAGUCGGCCUGCGCGGAAGAUGUAACGGGGCUAAACCAUG
rnacentral:rRNA from 1 species